GAUUCUUCUUCCUUAUCGCAGGAUUGUAGUGAAUAACUCCAACAACUUUGUAAUGGGCUCCAAAUAUUUUCUCCACAAGCCAUCCAUUACUUUACCAACAAUAUACAAGUCGAUUCCUGUACUUUUUAAAACCCAAAGACUCAUCUUUUCAGCAUUUGCUUCAAAACCCAUAUCCCCAAAUCGCGGAACUUCAAGCUUCUCAUACAGACCUCAACGAAUUCCUCCUCCAGUUUCUGGAGUAAUGCUGGAAGAUCCGAAGGAGGAUAUUACAGAGUCAGACCACGAGAAGGC
rnacentral:misc_RNA from 1 species